CCUACGGGUGGCAGCAGUGAGGAAUAUUGGUCAAUGGGCGGAAGCCUGAACCAGCCAAGUAGCGUGCAGGAUGACGGCCCUACGGGUUGUAAACUGCUUUUAUACGGGAAUAACGCGCCUUACGUGUAGGGCUUUGCAUGUACCGUAUGAAUAAGGACCGGCUAAUUCCGUGCCAGCAGCCGCGGUAAUACGGAAGGUCCGGGCGUUAUCCGGAUUUAUUGGGUUUAAAGGGAGCGUAGGCGGGAUGUCAAGCGUGCUGUGAAAUUUUCGGGCUCAACCCGGGCCUUGCAGCGCAGACUGGCGUGCUUGAGUCCGCGGAAAGCAGGCGGAAUUCGUCGUGUAGCGGUGAAAUGCUUAGAUAUGACGAAGAACCCCGAUUGCGAAGGCAGCUUGCUGCAGCGGAACUGACGCUGAUGCUCGAAAGCGCGGGUAUCGAACAGGAUUAGAUACCCGAGUAGUC
rnacentral:rRNA from 1 species